GAGACGCUAGUAAAACAAAUUACCCUGCCUUGUCAAGGCAACAUUGCAGGUUAAAACCCUGCGCAUCUUA
rnacentral:tRNA from 1 species